GAACAGACUUGAUGUGUGCCAAAUGUGGGUUCUGCCUUUAAAGAAAGAAAAAGUGCUUCUUCCCAUCUUCUUUCCAUCUUCCUGCUGUCUGGGAUUCAGAUUAGCCCUGAGCUAACAUCUGCCAAUCCUCCUCUUUUUGCUGAGGAAGGCUGGCCCUGAGCUAACAUCCGUGCCCAUCUUCCUCUACUUUAUAUGUGGGACGCCUGCCACAGCAUGGCUUGCCAAGCGGUGCCAUGUCCACACCCGAGAUCCGAACCAGCGAACCCCGGGCCACCAAAGCGGAACGUGCGCACUUAACCACUGCGCCACCGGACUGGCCCCCACUGGACUCAAUGUAAUCACAAGAGUCCUUACAACAGGGAGGCAUGGGUCAGAUAUAUAGCAAGAAAGCAGCGUGACAAGAGAAGCAGAGGGAAGCAGAGUCAGAGAGAAAAGAUGGUACGUCACCAGCUUUGAAGAUGGAGGAAGCGACCACAAGCCAAGGAAUGCAAGCAGCCUCUAGAAGCCAGAAAAGGCAAAGAAAGAGAUCCUCCAGAGAGCCUCAAGAAGGAACACAGGAUGUUUGCAUAAUCUCAAAGCAUCUCUCUACAAGAUCCUCAUUAAUUACAAAGGAGAAAGUAUUAGUUCCAUAGUUUACAGUGGAGACACCACCUUUAUCAAGUGACAUCACCAGGAAUGACACCUUGACUUCAUGCUCAUCCCAAUACCUUGCACUCAGAAGGACACCACAUCACUGCUAUAGGAUUCGUGCAAAAAUGCAUGCUCUGAAUUUGAUCAUGGGGAAACAUCCGAUAAAGCUAAAUUUGAGACAGUCCACUAAAUAACCAGCCUGUACUCUUCAAAAGUGCCACAGCCAUGAAAGACAGAGGAAGCCCAAGGACCUGUCACCGAUGAGAAGAGCCGAAAGCAGCAUCACAACUAAAGAAACUGGACCAGAUCCUGGGCCAGGAAAAGAACCCUCUCCAGGUGGUGGCAUUAGCUAUAUUUACUGGUGAGGACACUGGGGUCAAGGAGGAGCAUCAUUUAGGAGAUACCUCCCAAACGCGAGCACCCAGAGGGCCGUCAAUAAAGAGAAGCCGGACCAGCGAAUCGGGGACCCUCCGACACUGAUUCGAUGGAGUCGAUCAGAAACCGUCAAGCGACCUGGGCCCCAGAGAUACGGAGUUCCCCAGAUCUGGCUCCUCAGCACUUUCUUCUAUUAUGUGAAGAAAAACAGAACUGGAAAGAGUAACCUUAUGGAGUAUGUUCUAAGUAACACGGAACGUUCUGGAUCCAACAUCUCGGCACACUGCUCUCCUAUGGAAGCUGCUCUGGUCCUUGUCCUGGCUUUUUCAUCACAACCCACCAUGUUCAUGGAACCCAUCAUCCUGUCAACUCCCCCAGAUGAAAACAAAGAGACAAACAAACAGAAACAAG
rnacentral:lncRNA from 1 species